rnacentral:rRNA from 2 species
GGGUGGCGAGUGGCGGACGGGUGAGGAAUACAUCGGAAUCUACCUUUUCGUGGGGGAUAACGUAGGGAAACUUACGCUAAUACCGCAUACGACCUUCGGGUGAAAGCAGGGGACCUUCGGGCCUUGCGCGGAUAGAUGAGCCGAUGUCGGAUUAGCUAGUUGGCGGGGUAAAGGCCCACCAAGGCGACGAUCCGUAGCUGGUCUGAGAGGAUGAUCAGCCACACUGGAACUGAGACACGGUCCAGACUCC